rnacentral:rRNA from 1 species
UGGGGAAUUUUUCGCAAUGGGCGCAAGCCUGACGAAGCAACGCCGCGUGGAGGAUGAAGGUCUUCGGAUUGUAAACUCCUGUCGACCGGGACGAAUGCACUCGACCUAAUACGUCGGAAUGUUGACGGUACCGGUGGAGGAAGCCACGGCUAACUCUGUGCCAGCAGCCGCGGUAAUACAGAGGUGGCAAGCGUUGUUCGGAAUUACUGGGCGUAAAGGGCGCGUAGGCGGCCUUGUAAGUCUCGUGUGAAAGCCCUCGGCUUAACUGAGGAUCUGCACGGGAUACUGCGAGGCUUGAGUUCGGGAGAGGAAAGCGGAAUUCCGGGUGUAGCGGUGAAAUGCGUAGAUAUCCGGAGGAACACCAGUGGCGAAGGCGGCUUUCUGGACCGACACUGACGCUGAGGCGCGAAAGCUAGGGGAGCAAACGGG